rnacentral:ncRNA from 1 species
CAAAGGCUUGGUCCUGACUUUACUAUCAACUUUAACCUAAUUUAUACAUGCAAGUAUCCGCAUCCCGGUGAGAAUGCCCUCAAUCCCCCGUCCGGGGACGAGGAGCAGGCAUCAGGCACAACCACCCCCGCCCAAGACGCCUUGCUACGCCACACCCCCAAGGGAAUCCAGCAGUAAUAAACAUUAAGCUAUGAGCGAAAGCUCGACUUAGUUAAGGUUAACCAGGGCCGGUAAAACUCGUGCCAGCCACCGCGGUUAUACGAGAGGCCCAAGUAGAUAGCCACGGCGUAAAGAGUGGUUAGGGAAAUUAAAAACAUAUAGAGCCGAACAUCUCCUAGGUCGUUAUACGCUUUCUGAAGACAUGAAGCCCAUCAGCGAAAGUAACUCUAACUAAACCCACCCGACCCCACGAAAACUAAGAAACAAACUGGGAUUAGAUACCCCACUAUGCUUAGCCGUAAACUCAGAUGGCCCACCUACAGCAGCCAUCCGCCCGGGUACUACAAGCGUCAGCUUAAAACCCAAAGGACUUGGCGGUGCUUCAGACCCACCUAGAGGAGCCUGUUCUAGAACCGAUAAUCCCCGUUAAACCUCACCACCCCUAGCUUUCUCCGCCUAUAUACCGCCGUCGUCAGCUUACCCCGUGAGGGCCCAACAGUGAGCACAAUGGAUAAACCCCAAAACGUCAGGUCGAGGUGUAGCGAAUGAGGUGGAAAGAAAUGGGCUACAUUUUCUAUCACAGAAUAAUAACGGACAGCAAACUGAAAUAAACGCUCGAAGGUGGAUUUAGUAGUAAAAAGAAAACAGAGUGUCCUUUUGAACCAGGCUCUGAAGCGCGCACACACCGCCCGUCACCCUCCCCAUCAACCCUAAAAAAUAGUAAUUAACCAACUUCAACUUUGAUACGGGGAGGCAAGUCGUAACAUGGUAAGUGUACCGGAAGGUGCACUUGGAAGAAU